GACACACCGACUCCUAGGCGCAUGCGCCAACUGUUGUGUCUCCCUAUAUAAAUGGGUAGCUGCUCUGCGCUAGCUUCAUACAGUACCAGCACCGAUCAGAGACAGCCAACAUGUCGGACACUGAAGGAGGCAAGAAGAAACAGCAGAAGCAGCCCAAGAAGGGACCAAAGGACCUAGUUGAUGAUGACACUGCAGUCAAACGAGAGCAUCAGGACGGCCAGAAGAAGAAGGCUGAAAAGAAACCCAAGGGAGCAGGAAAAAAUGGGUCAGGAGGCGGCAAGAAGAAGAAAUAGGCUUUAGAUCAACACCACGAGGACAUCAUAGCAAGUCAUCCAGACUUCAAUAGUGAAGCCUGUAUACCUUUAGUUACAUCACCCUUACGUGUACCAAUUAUACCCAUGUAGUAUAAUGCUCGUGAGUUGUAAAAUGCUACCCAUCAUUCUGAGCUGUUCUGUCAAUAAAAACUGGUCAAUAAAAGGUCAAUAAAAACUGUUCUCAAUAAAGCAGGUUUCUUUUUACACCUUUGCUACUUUACACCUUUGGUGUUGUUUUAGCAAGGGUAUAAUCUCUUGAUAGUAGCAUAGCUCAAGUCAGAUUUCUUCACUAAGGGUCCUUUUCCUCUUUUAUGUGAAAUAGUUAAGUCAUGCGACCAUUCCUCCUGAAAAAUCUGGAGCAAAAUUCAUAAAUGCAAAAUGGUGAUGACAAACAACAGGUGUGCCCAUGUGCAGUCGCAAACGUGAUUCUGAUGUACACACUGUAAGUGUGCUCCUAGAACAUGUUGUGUAGUAACUUAUAUGAUGUGUCACCUCUAUCUACCUAACCAUUAACGUUUGAUCACCUCAUAACGGGGUAUGAAUAAAGCCGCUGUGUAUCACCACCUC